rnacentral:pre_miRNA from 12 species
UGUGUUGCAGCUGGUGUUGUGAAUCAGGCCGAUGACACACACCUCCUAAAAGCCGGCUAUUUCACAACACCAGGGUGGCACCG